rnacentral:rRNA from 1 species
AGAGGGGGAUCUUCGGACCUCUUGCUAAUAGAUGAGCCUAGGCCGGAUUAGCUAGUUGGUAGGGUAAAGGCCUACCAAGGCGACGAUCCGUAGCUGGUCUGAGAGGAUGAUCAGCCACACUGGAACUGAGACACGGUCCAGACUCCUACGGGAGGCAGCAGUGGGGAAUAUUGGACAAUGGGGGCAACCCUGAUCCAGCCAUGCCGCGUGUGUGAAGAAGGCCUUCGGGUUGUAAAGCACUUUAAGCGAGGAGGAAAGUCUUUAAGCUAAUAACUUAAAGAAUUGACGUUACUCGCAGAAUAAGCACCGGCUAACUCUGUGCCAGCAGCCGCGGUAAUACAGAGGGUGCAAGCGUUAAUCGGAAUUACUGGGCGUAAAGCGCGCGUAGGCGGUAUGUUAAGUCGGAUGUGAAAUCCCUGGGCUCAACCUAGGCAUUGCAUCCGAUACUGGCACACUAGAGUGUGGGAGAGGAAGGUAGAAUUCCAGGUGUAGCGGUGAAAUGCGUAGAGAUCUGGAGGAAUACCGAUGGCGAAGGCAGCCUUCUGGCCUAACACUGACGCUGAGGUGCGAAAGCAUGGGGAGCAAACAGGAUUAGAUACCCUGGUAGUCCAUGCCGUAAACGAUGUCAACUAGCCGUUGGGCUCCUUGAGGGCUUAGUGGCGCAGCUAACGCGAUAGGUUGACCGCCUGGGGAGUACGGUCGCAAGACUAAAACUCAAAUGAAUUGACGGGGGCCCGCACAAGCGGUGGAGCAUGUGGUUUAAUUCGAUGCAACGCGAAGAACCUUACCUGGCCUUGACAUGUCUGGAAUCCUGCAGAGAUGCGGGAGUGCCUUCGGGAAUCAGAACACAGGUGCUGCAUGGCUGUCGUCAGCUCGUGUCGUGAGAUGUUAGGUUAAGUCCCGCAACGAGCGCAACCCUUUUCUUUACUUGCCAGCGGGUAAUGCCGGGAACUUUAAAGAUACUGCCGGUGACAAACCGGAGGAAGGCGGGGACGACGUCAAGUCAUCAUGGCCCUUACGGCCAGGGCUACACACGUGCUACAAUGGUCGGUACAAAGGGUUGCUAACCCGCGAGGGCAUGCUAAUCUCAAAAAGCCGAUCGUAGUCCAGAUUGGAGUCUGCAACUCGACUCCAUGAAGUCGGAAUCGCUAGUAAUCGCGGAUCAGAAUGCCGCGGUGAAUACAUUCCCGGGCCUUGUACACACCGCCCGUCACACCAUGGGAGUUUGUUGCACCAGAAGUAGUUAGCCUAACCGCAAGGAGGGCGAUUACCACGGUGUGGCCAAUGACUGGGGUGAAGUCGUAACAAGGUAGCCGUAGGGGAACCUGCGGCUG